GAUGAACGCUGGCGGCGUGCCUAAUACAUGCGAGUCGAGCGAACAGACGAGGAGCUUGCUCCUCUGACGUUAGCGGCGGACGGGUGAGUAACACGUGGAUAACCUACCUAUAAGACUGGGAUAACUUCGGGAAACCGGAGCUAAUACCGGAUAACAUGUUGAACCGCAUGGUUCAACAGUGAAAGACGGUUUUGCUGUCACUUAUAGAUGGAUCCGCGUCGCAUUAGCUAGUUGGUAAGGUAACGGCUUACCAAGGCAACGAUGCGUAGCCGACCUGAGAGGGUGACGGGCCACAGGUGAACUGGGACCCGCUCCAGCCCCCUCGGGGAGGAGCAAGGGGGGAUUCUUCCCAAAGGGGCAAAGGCCGGACGGAGCAACCCCGCGGGAGAGAAAAAGUUCUCGGGAUCGAAAACCUCUUUAAUGGGGAAAAAACAAAUUUGUAAGAACCUCUGCGCGUCUGGAGGUUCCCUAAUAAGAAGGCCCCGCCAACCUCCGUC
rnacentral:rRNA from 1 species